GACGAACGCUGGCGGCGUGUUCAAUACAUGCAAGUCGGACGCAGUUGGGAACGGGCGUGUAACGCGUAGGUAACUACCCAUUAGAGGGGGAUAACUAUCGGAAACGAGAGCCAACACCGCAUAUUAGUAGUUGGACCUGCGUUGUAUUAGCUAGUAGGUAGGGUAAUGGCCUACCUAGGCAACGGUAGAUAGCCGACCUGCGAGGGUGAUCGUCCACACUGGGACUUAGACACGGCCCAGACUCCUACGGGAGGCAGCAGUGGGGAAUGUUGCACAGUGGGCGCAGACCUGUUACAGCCAUGCCGCGUGUGUGAAUGGGGCCUUGGGGUUGUAAGGGACUUUCGGCGGGGAGGCGUUGCUCGCAGAAGAAGCGUCGGCUAACUCCGUGCCAGCAGCCGCGGUAAUAC
rnacentral:rRNA from 1 species